GCCGGAAUAGCUCAGCUGGGAGAGCAACAGACUGAAGUAUACUUGUCUUCUGGAGGUCCCGUGUUCAAUCCACGGUUCUGGCA